rnacentral:rRNA from 1 species
GAUGAACGCUGGCGGCGUGCCUAAUACAUGCAAGUCGAGCGAACGGACGAGAAGCUUGCUUCUCUGAUGUUAGCGGCGGACGGGUGAGUAACACGUGGAUAACCUAUCUAAAAGACUGGGAUAACUUCGGGAAACCGGAGCUAAUACCGGAUAAUAUUUUGAACCGCAUGGUUCAAAAGUGAAAGACGGUCUUUCUGUCACUUAUAGAUGGAUCCGCGCUGCAUUAGCUAGUUGGUAAGGUAACGGCUUACCCAGGCAACGAUGCAUAGCCGACCUGAUAGGGUGAACGGCCACACUAGAACGGAGACGCGGUCCAGACUCCUACGGGAGGCAGCAGUAGGGAAGCUUCCGCAAUGGGCGAAAGCCUGACGGAGCAACGCCGCGUGAGGGCUGAAGGUAUUCGGAUCGGAAAACUCAGUUAUUAGGGAAGAACAUAUGUGUAAGUAACUGUGCACUUCUUGAAGGUACCUAAUCAGAAAGCAACGGCUAACUACGUG